GCAAGUCGAGCGAACUGAUUAGAAGCUUGCUUCUAUGACGUUAGCGGCGGACGGGUGAGUAACACGUGGGCAACCUGCCUGUAAGACUGGGAUAACUUCGGGAAACCGAAGCUAAUACCGGAUAGGAUCUUCUCCUUCAUGGGAGAUGAUUGAAAGAUGGUUUCGGCUAUCACUUACAGAUGGGCCCGCGGUGCAUUAGCUAGUUGGUGAGGUAACGGCUCACCAAGGCAACGAUGCAUAGCCGACCUGAGAGGGUGAUCGGCCACACUGGGACUGAGACACGGCCCAGACUCCUACGGGAGGCAGCAGUAGGGAAUCUUCCGCAAUGGACGAAAGUCUGACGGAGCAACGCCGCGUGAGUGAUGAAGGCUUUCGGGUCGUAAAACUCUGUUGUUAGGGAAGAACAAGUACGAGAGUAACUGCUCGUACCUUGACGGUACCUAACCAGAAAGCCACGGCUAACUACGUGCCAGCAGCCGCGGUAAUACGUAGGUGGCAAGCGUUAUCCGGAAUUAUUGGGCGUAAAGCGCGCGCAGGCGGUUUCUUAAGUCUGAUGUGAAAGCCCACGGCUCAACCGUGGAGGGUCAUUGGAAACUGGGGAACUUGAGUGCAGAAGAGAAAAGCGGAAUUCCACGUGUAGCGGUGAAAUGCGUAGAGAUGUGGAGGAACACCAGUGGCGAAGGCGGCUUUUUGGUCUGUAACUGACGCUGAGGCGCGAAAGCGUGGGGAGCAAACAGGAUUAGAUACUCUGGUAGUCCACGCCGUAUACGAUGAGUGCUAAGUGUUAGAGGGUUUCCGCCCUUUAUUGCUGCAGCUAACGCAU
rnacentral:rRNA from 1 species